AAUCGAGGGUUUCGGGGACGCCAAGCGGCACUUUCCUCUUCCCAGCGAGUGAAGGAGGGCAGUCGGCGGCUCUCGCGCCCCGGCCACUUUCCCUGCGCGAUUCCCGGAGCUCCCUGCAGGAGGUUUGUUCAGACCUGGUUUAAGCCCCUGGAUUAACGCAGCACAGACCCUCAGACCCACUGCAGCUGUGGGCAGGGUGAUGCAAGCUCAUUAAAUAUUCCCACAAGCCUCGUGCCGCUUACAGUUUAUGUGCUUCAUAAAAUCCUCUGGGAAGUCAUCUUCUUCUGAGAUCUCCUUACAGAGAUUUGCUUUAUAAAAGUUGUCUUUAACAUUUGCUGAAAUAGCAUAUUCUUUCAGAGAGGUUUUUCCUUAUCAAAAUUAUUAUAUAGGCAGGAGGCACUAUAGUUCUUGUGAACCAAUUCACUAAUUUAGGGAAUCUAAUAUUUUGAAGGGAAAAAAAUAGAGACGGAUACUCUUUGUGGUGGUUGAAUUUUUAAGUUAACAGAGAAGAUUUCCAUAUGAUCAGAGUUGAUGUGGAAUUAUGGUGACAGAAAUGUUGGACU
rnacentral:sRNA from 1 species